UGAAACCAUGUGCAUCUGGUUCUGUAAAGCUUAUUACCAGAGGCACCAUUAAUCAAACAUAUCAAAUUAAUAGACAGAUAUUUGUUGAGUUCACACUGUGCAUGAAGCUCUGUGUUGGGUGUUGUAUCACAUUUUCCAGCUGAAAAACCCAGUGUGGAUGGCGUGCUUGAAACAGGCUCAGAUUUCUGGAAUGAUGUGGAUAUUCCUCUUUGGUGGUAACCAGAACAGGGGACAAAGGAAGGCCCUGGAUGAAUUGCUGUAGACAUCUGAAGCAUUUGGGCCACACAGCAACCAUAUGACCUAGAUGCUGCUAUUAUUCACAUUGUGCUGGCAAGAAAACUGAGAUGUGGAGAUGUUCAUGGGCUCACCAAGCUCGUGACUGAUUAUUUUUCUCUGUGUAGCAGAGAAUAAAGCUGAGAGCAUAAACAGCAUCAUAUUCCCAGAAUUACCACUGCUUUCCUCCUUUCUUCUGGAAUACCAGUGGACUGACUCUGCCAUCCUGGUCUCAAGUCCCAGUACAUUUGAUGGGAGGUGUGAAGAUACACAGCUGACCAGCCCAGCUAAUGCCACCCAGUGAAAUGUUCAAUGAUGGGUAUUGGCUUUAACUAUCUUGAUGGUGAGUAUCUGGACUUUAAACCUAAGACCAUGCUGUAAUGAGAUGAAGUUUUAUGGAUCAUAGAGGGGAGUAAAUAGACUUUGCAUGUGGAAAUGACUUGAAUCUUUGAGGUCCAGAGGACAGAUGAACCUAAGUCCAGAAAGAGGCCAAUUGAGGAAGAACAAAGGCCUUGCUGGCAGCCCAUGAGCUUCAAGCUGAGAAGUGGCAUCAGUUUCCCAGACUACCAACUGAAGGCUGCAGCCUUGCAGAGGAAGACAAAUACCCAAAGCGAUCUUGUACAUUGGAGCAUCACCAUUUAUACCUUUUGUUCUCCAGGUUUCUUAUGUAUUAUGCAAGGUCCCUACCUAAAAAUGAAUUAAAG